rnacentral:rRNA from 1 species
AACGAACGCUGGCGGCGUGCCUAACACAUGCAAGUCGCACGAGAAGAGGGUAGCAAUACCUUUUGUAAAGUGGCGCACGGGUGCGUAAUACACAGAUAAUCUACCUUUUUGAUCGGCACAACCCCGCGAAAGCGGGGCUAAUUCCGGAUACGCUCUAUAUCGUUAAGGUAUAGAGGAAAGAUGGCCUCUACUUGUAAGCUAUCGCAGAUUGAUGAGUUUGUGUCCCAUCAGCUAGUUGGUAGGGUAACGGCCUACCAAGGCUAUGACGGGUAGCUGAUCUGAGAGGAUGAUCAGCCACACUGGAACUGAAACACGGUCCAGACUCCUACGGGAGGCAGCAGUGGGGAAUAUUGGACAAUGGGGGCAACCCUGAUCCAGCAACGCCGCGUGAGGGAAGAAGGCCUUCGGGUUGUAAACCUCUGUCGAAGGGGACGAAACCGUUCAUGGCUAACAUCCAUGAGCAUUGACGGUACCCUUAGAGGAAGCACCGGCUAACUCCGUGCCAGCAGCCGCAGUAA